CUCCAAAGCAAACACUAUACCCGUUUGGUAAGCUUCUGAGGCAACAUUCAAUCCAUCAACAAGAAUAUUUCAACACAUCAAGAUGGGCAAACUUAUGGCUUUGUUCGUUGUUCUACUUAUUGUGGCAACUUUGGCAUUUGCGGCACCUGAACCCGAACCAAGACGUGGUUAUGGAUACGGACAUGGGCACGGACACGGGCACGGUGGUCAUGGUUAUGGGCACGGAUAUGGUCAUGGACAUGGUGGUCGGGGCCAUGGACAUGGACAUCAUGGAUGAAGUAAACUAAUCUUCAUAAGUUAAUUUAAUGUUAAUAUUAAAUCUAAAUUUGCCUUUUUGAUUGAAUUUUAUAUGUUUGUGUAGAAUUUUAAUUUCAACAUGUUUAUUAAUAAAUAAUGGAAUUUAAAACUGUAUAUGAAA